rnacentral:rRNA from 1 species
UACGGGGGGAGCAAGCGUUGUCCGGAAUCAUUGGGCGUAAAGCGCGUGUAGGCGGCCACACAGGUCCGUUGUGAAAACUCGAGGCUUAACCUCGAGACGUCGAUGGAAACCGUAUGGCUAGAGUCCGGAAGAGGAGAGUGGAAUUCCUGGUGUAGCGGUGAAAUGCGCAGAUAUCAGGAAGAACACCCGUGGCGAAGGCGGCUCUCUGGGACGGUACUGACGCUGAGACGCGAAAGCGUGGGGAGCGAACAGG